rnacentral:tRNA from 1 species
GAGGGUGCCAUAAGACCUGCUAACUNUUUAAUCUGGAA